rnacentral:misc_RNA from 1 species
AAUUCUCAAACCUACAAGUCUUUUGCGGGCUUUUGUAGGCUUUGGAUUUGGAGGCUUGUUGGUUGACCGUAAAGGUCGAUAUCAACUCCUCUUAAAUGUAUUAGCUUGGUUCCUUGCGGAUCGGCUAUCGGUGUGAUAAUUAUCUGCGCCGUGGUCGUGAAGCGUUUUUGGCCGGCUUCUAACAGUCUCUGAUUAGAGACACUUUCAUCAAC